AUUGAACGCUGGCGGCGUGCCUAACACAUGCAAGUCGAGCGGUAACAGGUGUAGCAAUACAUGCUGACGAGCGGCGGACGGGUGAGUAACGCUUGGGAAUCUGCCUAUUAGUGGGGGACGAACCCGGGGAAACGUACGGGCGUAAUACCGCAUACGCUCUACGGAGGAAAGACCGGGGACCGGCAAGGCCUGGCGCUAAUAGAUGAGCCCAACGUCGGAUUAGCUAGUUGGUAGGGGUAAGUGGCCUACCAAGGCGACGAUCCGUAACUGGUCUGAGAGGACGACCAGUCACACCGGAACUGAGACACGGUCC
rnacentral:rRNA from 1 species